rnacentral:rRNA from 1 species
CCAAUAGCGUAUAUUAAAGUUGUUGCAGUUAAAAAGCUCGUAGUUGAAUUUCGGGAUCAAUAUAUCGGUCGUGCCUUCGGUAUGCACUGGUAUUAUUGAUUUCUACCUUCUGACGAACCAUGAUGUCAUUAAUUUGGUGUCAUGGGAAAUCAGGACUGUUACUUUGAAAAAAUUAGAGUGUUUAAAGCAGGCACACGCUUGAAUACAUUAGCAUGGAAUAAUGAAAUAGGACGUUUGACCCUAUUUUGUUGGUUUCUAGGAUCGACGUAAUGAUUAAUAGGGAUAGUUGGGGGCAUUAGUAUUCAAUUGUCAGAGGUGAAAUUCUUGGAUUUAUUGAAGACUAACUACUGCGAAAGCAUUUGCCAAGGAUGUUUUCAUUAAUCAAGAACGAAAGUUAGGGGAUCGAAGACGAUCAGAUACCGUCGUAGUCUUAACCAUAAACUAUGCCGACUAGGGAUCGGAUGAUGUUAAUUUUUUAAUGACUCAUUCGGCGCCCUACG